GCAUUGGUGGUUCAGUGGUAGAAUUCUCACCUUCCAUGCAGGAGACCCGGGUUUGAUUCCCAGGCAGUGCA
rnacentral:tRNA from 1 species